GAGGCAGCUGUGUGCUGGAGGCUGUGGAGUCCCUGCUAUUGAACCAGUCCUGGCUGGACCUGGCUCCUGGUCUUGGCAGGUCUCCUUACAGCUUACUGAUGGCUUCUAUUUUUGUGGAGGGUCCCU
rnacentral:lncRNA from 1 species